rnacentral:rRNA from 1 species
GACGGAGGAUGCAAGUGUUAUCCGGAAUCACUGGGCGUAAAGCGUCUGUAGGUGGUCAAAUAAGUCAACUGUUAAAUCUUGAGGCUCAACCUCAAAAUCGCAGUCGAAACUAUUCGACUAGAGUAUAGUAGGGGUAAAGGGAAUUUCCAGUGGAGCGGUGAAAUGCGUAGAGAUUGGAAAGAACACCGAUGGCGAAGGCACUUUACUGGGCUAUUACUAACGCUGAGAGACGAAAGCUAGGGUAGCAAAUGGG